ensembl:snRNA U1 U1 spliceosomal RNA
AUACUUACCUGGCAGGGGAGAGACCAUGAUCAUGAAGGUGGUUUUCCCAGGGCAAGGCUUAUCCAUUGCACUCUGGGUGUGCUGACCCCUGCGAUUUCCCCAAAUGUGGGGAACUCGACUGCAUAAUUUGUGGUAGUGGGGGACUGAGUUUGCGCUCUCCCCUG